rnacentral:rRNA from 1 species
GAAAGAUGGCUUUAGCUAUCACCCUGGGAUGGACCUGCGGUGCAUUAGCUAGUUGGUAAGGUAACGGCUUACCAAGGCGAUGAUGCAUAGCCGAGUUGAGAGACUGAUCGGCCACAAUGGAACUGAGACACGGUCCAUACUCCUACGGGAGGCAGCAGUAGGGAAUCUUCCACAAUGGGCGCAAGCCUGAUGGAGCAACACCGCGUGAGUGAAGAAGGGUUUCGGCUCGUAAAGCUCUGUUGUUGGAGAAGAACGUGCGUGAGAGUAACUGUUCGCGCAGUGACGGUAUCCAACCAGAAAGUCACGGCUAACUACGUGCCAGCAGCCGCGGUAAUACGUAGGUGGCAAGCGUUAUCCGGAUUUAUUGGGCGUAAAGCGAGCGCAGGCGGUUGCUUAGGUCUGAUGUGAAAGCCUUCGGCUUAACCGAAGAAGUGCAUCGGAAACCGGGCAACUUGAGUGCAGAAGAGGACAGUGGAACUCCAUGUGUAGCGGUGGAAUGCGUAGAUAUAUGGAAGAACACCAGUGGCGAAGGCGGCUGUCUGGUCUGCAACUGACGCUGAGGCUCGAAAGCAUGGGUAGCGAACAGGAUUAGAUACCCUGGUAGUCCAUGCCGUAAACGAUGAGUGCUAGGUGUUGGAGGGUUUCCGCCCUUCA